GAUGAACGCUGGCGGCGUGCCUAAUACAUGCAAGUCGAGCGAACGGACGAGAAGCUUGCUUCUCUGAUGUUAGCGGCGGACGGGUGAGUAACACGUGGAUAACCUACCUAUAAGAAUGGGAUAACUUCGGGAAACCGGAGCUAAUACCGGAUAAUAUUUUGAACCGCAUGGUUCAAAAGUGAAAGAGGGUUGUGCUGUCACUUAUAGAUGGAUCCGCGCUGCAUUAGCUAGUUGGUAAGGUAACGGCUUACCAAGGCAACGAUGCAUAGCCGACCUGAGCGGGUGAUCGGGCACACUGGGACUGAGACACGGUACAGACUCCUACGGGAGGCCGCAGUAGGGAAUCGUGCGCAAUGGGCGAAAGCCUGACGGAGCAACGCCGCGUGAGUGAUGAAGGUCUUCGGAUCGUAAAACUCUGUUAUUAGGGAAGACCAUAUGUGUAAGUAACUGUGCACAUCUUGACGGUACCUAAUCAGAAAGCAACGGCUAACUACGUG
rnacentral:rRNA from 1 species